GACGAACGCUGGCGGCGUGCUUAACACAUGCAAGUCGAACGGGCCUGCCUGGCUUUGGUUGGGUGGGUGAGUGGCGAACGGGUGAGUAACACGUGAGUAACCUGCCCUCUUCUCUUGGAUAACUGCUUAAAAGGGCGGCUAAUACGGGAUGUUCUGGCUGCCUCGCAUGGGGUGGUUUGGAAAGAUUCGGCCUGGUUUUGGUUGUUUUGGUGGGGGAUGGGCUCGCGGCUUAUCAGCUUGUUGGUGGGGUGAUGGCCUACCAAGGCGGUGACGGGUAGCCGGCCUGAGAGGGUGGACGGUCACACUGGGACUGAGACACGGCCCAGACUCCUCGGGAGGCAGCAGUGGGGGAUUUUGCACAAUGGGCGCAAGCCUGAUGCAGCGACGCCGCGUGAGGGAUGGAGGCCUUCGGGUUGUGAACCUCUGUCGCCGGUGAUGUAGGCUCUGCUUUGUGGGUGGGGUGACGGCAGCCG
rnacentral:rRNA from 1 species